rnacentral:rRNA from 1 species
AUUGAACGCUGGCGGCAGGCCUAACACAUGCAAGUCGAGCGGAUGAAGGGAGCUUGCUCCUGGAUUCAGCGGCGGACGGGUGAGUAAUGCCUAGGAAUCUGCCUGGUAGUGGGGGAUAACGUCCGGAAACGGGCGCUAAUACCGCAUACGUCCUGAGGGAGAAAGUGGGGGUUCUUCGGACCUCACGCUAUCAGAUGAGCCUAGGUCGGAUUAGCUAGUUGGUGGGGUAAAGGCCUACCAAGGCGACGAUCCGUAACUGGUCUGAGAGGCUGAUCAGUCACACUGGAACUGAGACACGGUCCAGACUCCUACGGGAGGCAGCAGUGGGGAAUAUUGGGCAAUGGGCGAAAGCCUGAUGCAGCAAAGCCGCGUGUGUGAAGAAGGUCUUCGGAUUGUAAAGCACUUUAAGUUGGGAGGAAGGGAAGUAAGUUAAUACCUUGCUGUUUUGACGUUACCAACAGAAUAAGCACCGGCUAACUUCGUG